UACGGAGGGUGCAAGCGUUGUCCGGAAUUAUUGGAUUUAAAGGGUGCGUAGGCGGGUCAUUAAGUCAGUGGUGAAAGCCCACAGCUCAACUGUGGAACUGCCAUUGAUACUGAUGACCUUGAGUAUCGUUGAAGUAGGCGGGAUUUAUGGUGUAGCGGUGAAAUGCAUAGAUACCAUAAAGAACACCGAUAGCGUAGGCAGCUUACUAAACGAUAACUGACGCUGAGGCACGAAAGCAUGGGUAGCGAACAGG
rnacentral:misc_RNA from 1 species